AUUGAACGCUGGCGGCAGGCCUAACACAUGCAAGUCGAACGGUAACAGGAAGCAGCUUGCCGCUUCGCUGACGAGUGGCGGACGGGUGAGUAAUGUCUGGGAAACUGCCUGAUGGAGGGGGAUAACUACUGGAAACGGUAGCUAAUACCGCAUAACGUCGCAAGACCAAAGAGGGGGACCUUAGGGCCUCUUGCCAUCGGAUGUGCCCAGAUGGGAUUAGCUAGUAGGUGGGGUAACGGCUCACCUAGGCGACGAUCCCUAGCUGGUCUGAGAGGAUGACCAGCCACACUGGAACUGAGACACGGUCCAGACUCCUACGGGAGGCAGCAGUGGGGAAUAUUGCACAAUGGGCGCAAGCCUGAUGCAGCCAUGCCGCGUGUAUGAAGAAGGCCUUCGGGUUGUAAAGUACUUUCAGCGGGGAGGAAGGGAGUAAAGUUAAUACCUUUGCUCAUUGACGUUACCCGCAGAAGAAGCACCGGCUAACUCCGUG
rnacentral:rRNA from 1 species